rnacentral:rRNA from 1 species
GACAGAGGGUGCAAACGUUGUUCGGAAUUACUGGGCGUAAAGCGCGUGUAGGCGGUCCGGUAAGUCCGCUGUGAAAGUCGGGGGCUCAACCCUCGGAUGCCAGUGGAUACUGUCGGGCUUGAGUACGGAAGAGGCGAGUGGAAUUCCUGGUGUAGCGGUGAAAUGCGCAGAUAUCAGAAGGAACAUCAGUGGCGAAGGCGGCUUUCUGGACCAAUACUGACGAUCAGGUGCGAAAGCGUGGGGAGCAAACAGG